CAAAGAUCAGUAACUUGCCAUUUCUCUUUCUUUUUUUGGUAAAAUUAACUUCAAUUAAAAUUCAAACUCGAAACUUAUGGAGCUAAAGUUCAAGCUCAAUGGUAACUUGCCAUUCCUUUUGAUUAUGAUGAACAAAGUGUGUUGUAUUCUUCCCUUUAAAAGACCCAAAUGGGAAAGAAACAAAAUGAAGCAAUGCAGCAAAGAAAAAAAUUUAAAUUAAUGGAACCCUCCAACAACAUCCCCUGUAAUUUGUUUCAAACCAGCUUAUGCCGUCUUCUCCUUUGUUCUGUAUCUCCGACUCCUUUCCACAAAUUUGAGAAUCUCAUCAAUUAGAAUCACAGGAGCUGAAACCAAGAUGACUAGAAGCCACUCAUUCAGGCUCAAUGGGACAAUACUAAACACAUCUUCCAGGAAGGGAACAUAGAGUAAGAGGCAAUGGAGUCCAAAUGAGACUGACAUGGCAACUAAAAGCCAAGGAUUCCUCCAAGGUGGCAUUGUGACCAAGCUGUUCUCCUCAGAAAGAGCAUUCAUGGAGUUGAACAUCUCGAUUGCUACUAGUACAGAGAGUGAAAGAGUCAUUGCCUUCACUUUACCAACUGAGAAAUAGUCACAAGGGUUUGAAAAAGUGAUCAUGCGUCCACCAACAGAGUAUGGAGCCACACUGAAAUUUGACCAUUUAGAACACUCCCCCCAAUUGCGAAGCUGAGAUAGUUCAACAAGAGUGUGCCCAUCACUUACAAGAUUGAUACCCAGAAAAGAAGAUUGGGUGUACCACAAGAUGAAGAUUCCGACUGUUGCAAUGCCUACAUAAGAACCAAUAACCAAAUAACGGAGGAGAACCCAAGAAUUUAUUAGAGCAUCGUUGCUUUUGCGUGGUGGUUUCUGCAUUACGUCAACGUCAGCAGGGUUAAAACCAAGGGCUGUUGCAGGCGGACCAUCGGUAACCAAAUUCACCCACAAAAGCUGCACAGGUAUUAUACACUCUGGUAUACCCAGUGCAGCAGUUAAAAAUAUGGACAUCACCUCACCAACAUUAGAUGAUAUCAUAUACCUGAUAAAAGCUUUCAUGUUGUUAUAUAUUGAGCGACCCUCUGCAACUGCUGAAACAAUGGUACUAAAAUUAUCGUCUGCCAAAACCAUAUCUGAAGCUUCCUUGGCCACCUGCAAAGAAGAACGUCGAAUGCAUUCCCAUGACUUCUGAAAAAAUUUACCCUCAUGGCACGAGGUUAAAACAAAAAUUAAAUUUCAAAUUGAAAUCUAGUUAAAUGUACAAGUUCAUUUAACCGCUGCAAAGAAAAUUGGAGAAUGCUGUCAUUGGAUGCAAUAACAUGUUUUUCAGCUCUUGGCCAAAAUUCAUGAGAUUGCCUCAAAUGUUCUCAUUAAGCUUUAAUGGAUCUUGACUAGCUUGCCUCAGUUCCUGUUAUACCCAUGGCAAUUCCAAUGUCCGCAAGUUUAAGAGCAGGUGCAUCGUUUACACCGUCUCCAGUCAUGGCAACAAUCUCACCCAUAUCCUUCAGCAACCGUACAAUUUCUUGCUUAUGCCUAGGCUCUGCACGGGAGAACACCUUUCCUCCAGGUUUAGACAAAAUUUCUAUUUGUUGUGAAGGGGGAACAGCCAUGAACUCUUUACCCGUAAAACUAUUUCCUCUAAGAUCUUCAUCUUCGUAAAACAGCUUGAUUUCUUUACAGAUUGCCUCUGCUGUGGACUUGUUAUCACCAGUUAUCACCAUGACUCUAAUACCAGCACCUCUACAAUCCUGGAUUGCUUUAUGAACUUCAUCUCGUGGAGGGUCCCUUAGACCAACCACUGCUACAAAAACCAGAUCACUUUCGAUGGAGGAGUAGCAACCUGGAUCAAGCAACUUCUUGUGGGCAGGAUGAUUCUCACCGUAGUAGUCUGAAAAUUCUCCCAAGUCAUCCUUAUAUGCCAGUCCCAAGCACCGUAAUCCUUUGGAGCUCAUCUCCAGAAGUCUCGAAAGUAGCAACUGCCUGCAAGGUUCAUCAAUGGGAACAAGAGAUCCAUCUGCAAGUUGUACGUGUGAACUGCGCUCCAAUAAACUCUCAACGGCUCCCUGCAGAUCUCAAAAGUCACACAUCCAUCUCCAUAAACUAGUAGAUGAAUAUCAUUCAACAAAUCAAGGUAGGAACUAAGACAAACAAGCAGCAUGAGCAUGAGCCAAAAGAAGAAAUUUAACAACUCUGAAAAAAGAAAAAAGUUAGCAUUAACCAAACCACUAGGAUAAAACCAUAUUCCCCAAAUUAUAAGUGUUAAAUCACCAAGAUUUUUAUGUUUAGAAUAAGGCACCAAAAUGAAAUAAACUUUGAAAAAAAAUCUUGAACGCUAGGCAACAUUAGCAACGUCAAACUUGGCAAAGCCUUCUCAAAACACUCAGCUAAACUUUCACUAGACUGGGUAAACAUGUCAACCAAGCAGUCACUUAGCCAGGUAUCGAGUAAACUUGGCAAAAUAUGAGAAUUAGGAUGUCUUGUACUCCGUUAUAACAAGGUUAAUCAGAUUGAAAGUCAGUAAUUGCGAAGAUCUCCAUGGAUCACCUUGACAAGAAGUCGAUUGUGCCCACUGGGCUUCCUGACGAUAACACCCAUUGACUUCCUAAUGCGAUCAAACUCCAAUGUGGCAACCCUUUUCGAUCUUUUAGUCCACCAGUCACAACUUACUAAUUUUACCGUGCUACGAUCAAUCAAAUAGUUUGCAACACGUUCAGUGUCACGAAUUUUAUUCCUUGCCUUGACAUCUGGGAUUCCCAUCUUCUCAACCAAAACCUUGAGAGCUGCCUCAGUGGGCAAACCCAUAGCUCGGAACAAACGCCCAUCACAAAAGAUCCCAGCGUCGUUGCAAACGGCACAUAUUUCUGCCAUGGCUUGCAAAUUAGCAUCCAUGUUGUAACAAGUCCAAUCAACAAUUCCCCCAUCCUUAGGAUCAUAGGUUGUUCCUUCAACAUGAAAAAUUCUGGAAGAAGUAGUUUUCCCACCCAAAGUAAAAAAUUCUGUCACAGACAUCUGGUUUGUGGUUAAAGUCCCAGUUUUAUCUGAACAAAUCACAGUUGUGCAUCCCAAUGUUUCUACGCUUGGAAGCUUUCUUACAAUUGCAUUUUUUUGUGCCAUUUUCCUGGUACCCAGUGCUAAACAAGUCGUGAUUACCGCAGGAAGGCCUUCAGGUAUUGCUGCUACAGCUAGAGCAAUGGCAAUCUUGAAAUAGUAUGUGCAUUUCUCAAAAGAAAAUCGAAUAUUUGCUGGCCAUCCAUCUGCAACAUCCCAUGAGAGGAAAUUUUUGUAAUUUAUGACCCACACGAUGAGGCAAACAAGUCCAAUUACAGUCGUAAGCCUACCUCCAAACUCAUCCAGCUUCUUCUUCAAAGGUGUAUCAUUGUCUUCCAAAGAAGCCUCAUGUAUUUGCUUCUGUAUUUUUCCAAUCUCAGUAUUCAUCCCAGUGUUUAUAACGAUACAAACACAGCUUCCAUUCACAACUGUUGUGCCUGCAAAAACCAUGUUUUCCUUAGCCUGCAGCUCACAGUCGUCCAUGAAUAUGGGAGUGGUGCCUUUCAAGACAGGCAUAGCCUCCCCGGUCAAUGAGCUUUGCUCUACUCUCAAUGUUGACGUCUUCAAAGCUGCAAUUCUCAUGUCAGCGGGCACCUUAUCCCCAACCCGCAAUUCCACUAUAUCCCCAGGAACAAGCUCCCUCGCUGGCAAGUCCGGUACCCAAUACUCAUCCCUUAGAACCUUUGCUGAUUCACAUUGCAUCUCCUUGAGGGCUUCAAGUGCCCUCUCAGCAUUACUCUCUUGCCACACCCCAACAAUGGCAUUAAGGACCAAAAUCAACACUAUAACAAAUGGUUCCACAUAGUCUUCGAACCCAGACUCUCCCCUAGAUUCACUUCCAUGCAAAUAAGCUAAAAUAAAUGAUAUAAAGGCCGCAACCAGAAGAAUUUUCACAAGCGUGUCAUCAAAUUGUUCUAAUACCAGCUGCCAUAAGGGCUUACCCUUCUCUUUGGCGAGUUCAUUCCAGCCAUAUCUCUCACGCCGCUUCUCAACCUCAUAUGAACUCAGACCCUUGUCCAGCUUCACAUUGUACUCUUUUAAACACUGCUCAACAGACCAUGACCAUGCAGGGAACGGUCUUCCCUCCAUUGCUUUUGUCUUGAAGUUCAAAAUUCUACUCCAGACAAAAGUUUGGAUGAAGUGCUCUCCGAAUCAUAUCAGAAUCCCAAUUAGUUACUGGGGACCUUUCUCCGUAUCUUCACAACCACCAUAAGUAAUGUCACCCGUAACCACAAACCGGAGAGAAAGAGCGGAGUUAAUGAAAAUAACCAUACAUCUCAAAAUAUGCAGUAGCUCUGACCUCUGAGCUUCUAGCAACUAGCAUACCAAACCCAACCACUUAUUGCUGACAAUUGAUAUAUAAUCUUAAAAUCCACCCGCCAGAAAACAAGUAAUUCUCAUAACAAACAGAAAACCAGAACAAAAGUAGCAAGCACAGAGUAUAGAGCAAACCAGAAACAAAAACCACACGCUUUACAUUAAAUAAACUAUAAGCAGGAGCUGCAACAUCAUAAAUGAACAAUAAUCUUUUACCCAUGAAUCGAAACGGGCAUUCCAACCACAGCACAAAGGAACCAAACUCCAGGGAAGAAAAAAAAAAUGGAAAAAUAAGUAGACCUUUGGAAAGAAGUUGGCAAUAAAGUUGGCUUGAAGACAAAGCAAACCCCAAAGAAAAU
rnacentral:misc_RNA from 1 species